GAACCAGCAACUUGGGGGAAUGUAAGCAUAUGUAUGGNCUANCCACGCAUAUGUGUAUNGACUACGUCGUAUAAAGUUCUAGAUAGAUAACUGAUAAUGACAAUUUUCUAUCUAUAUGUCUUGACCAAAUCUCGUGCCAGCAGUCGCGGCAAUACGAGGAAGACUAGUGUUAUUCAUCUUUAUUAGGUUUAAAGGGUACCUAGACGGUAUAUCAAGCCCCAAAAGGGAACAGAUAUACUAGAGUUUUAUGUGAGAGGUAUAUAUUAGUACUAUUGGUGUAGAGAUGAAAUUCUUUGAUACUAAUGGAACGGAUAACAGCGAAAGCAAACCUUUAUGUAUAAACUGACGUUGAGGGACGAAGGCUUGGGUAGCGAAUAGGAUUAGAUACCCUAGUAGUCCAGGCAGAGAAUUAUGAAUGUUAUAGACUUGCGAAAGCAAGUGUAUAAAUGAAAGUGUAAGCAUUCCACCUCAAGAGUAAUGCGGCAACGCAGGAACUGAAAUCAUUAGACCGUUUCUGAAACCAGUAGUGAAGUAUGUUAUUUAAUUCGAUAACCCUCGAAAAACCUUACCACANUUUGAAUAUUAUAGCGCCCCGGCGUUAAAUAAUACAAGUGUUGCACGGCUGUCUUCAGUUAAUGUCGUGAGAUUCUGGUUAGAUCCAUUAAAUUAACGUAAACCCUUGCUUUAUUUGUUUUUAUAAAG
rnacentral:rRNA from 1 species